UUAAAUAAAUAUCGUCAAAUAAUCGAGAUCUCAAUUUCAGUGAAAAUAAUCGUGAUUAUCAUUUUUGCCAUAAUCGAGCAGCCCUAAGGGCAAGCAUGGUGGCUUUCUACUCCUAAGUAUGUUUCAUGGAUUAAUUUAUUUUAUAAGGAUGCAUCAGUGCGCUGGAAGAUCUAAUUACAAUGUAUCGAUGUAUAUUUGAGUAUGCAAUUUUGUUUUCAUUUUCAUUUCACUUUCCUGCAGUUCCUGAGGCACUGAAGGGCGUGGUACAUCCACUGACAAGCAGAAGAAGGCGGAGAAAAGAGAUACAGAGACCAGGAGGAGUCAUCAAGAGCAGUUUUAAGAAGAACAUCCGGGGGAAGAACCCACUGAAGAGUUUCCAGUACACUGGAGGGAAAAACAGAAAAGGCAAAGCGAGCCAGUCAUAGCCGUUGGGACACACCUGAAUGCGUUUGAGUUGCAAAUGUUAUUACACUCAUACACCAGUCUAUUAUAUCUCAUUAGCAAUAUCUGUUUUAUUUGAUCCAUUGAAUAAUUAACUGUAUACACAGUGCAUUUGCUCUGUAUAAUUACACAUGUUGGAAUACAUUUUUUGUCAAACAGUG